GGGAUGACACAGUAGGAUAAGCUAAGCACACUGUUGGUUAUGUGUGCCCAAGCAUUGAGGCAGUCAAAGUAGGCAAAUCCGCUUUGAUAAUGCUGGGAUGUGAUGGGGAGCGAAAUUUAGUAGCGAAGUAGCUGAUUUCACACUGUCAAGAAAAGUCUCUAUCGAGGUUAAAGGUACCCGUACCGCAAACCGACACAGGUGGGUGAGGAGAGUAUCCUAAGGCCAGCGAGAGAACUGUUGUUAAGGAACUCGGCAAAAUGACCCCGUAACUUAGGGAUAAGGGGUGCCACCAUCAGGUGGCCGCAGAGAAUAGGCCCAAGCGACUGUUUACCAAAAACAUAGGUUUCUGCUAAGUCGCAAGACGAUGUAUAGGAGCUGACGCCUGCCCGGUGCUGGAAGGUUAAGGGGAUCUGUUAGAGCAAUCGAAGCAGUGAACUUAAGCCCCAGUAAACGGCGGCCGUAACUAUAACGGUCCUAAGGUAGCGAAAUUCCUUGUCGGGUAAGUUCCGACCCGCACGAAAGGCGUAACGAUUUGGGCACUGUCUCAACAACAGACU
rnacentral:rRNA from 1 species